AGCGCCGCGUUUAACUGUCACACAACGGCAGCCACACUAUCCACUCCUCCUCCGGCGCGCGCCCUGUGGCUAAACCAAACACCUCCACCGGCAGGCAGCAGGACCCGGCGAGCGGGGUCAAAUGUGAUUCAAAGGCGGGGGGGAGGGAGUAGAAAGGGGGGGCUCUGCUAUGCUACGAAAAAAAAAAACUUACAGCUGAUUCACCCACUUCUAGCUGCAGACGAGAGGAGAAAGCCAUCCGACAGCAGCAACCAACUCUAUCAUCUCCACUAGAGGGAGGGCUAUCUCACAACAAGGCCACCAAGGAGCUGCAUCUGAGGGUCAGCAUGUGGUGAGUCAGUAGAAGCGAGCCAGCGAGCGCCUGAUCUCCGAGCGAGGCUUGUCAGCGUGGUCCUGAGUGGGCUGUGUGGAGCUUCUGUCAGAGAGUGUCACAUUUCCACGGCCCACACUGUGGCUCCUCUGUCCUCCUCAUGGCUGCAGCUCAAUGGGUCCUUUGAUGGGCCAACCCGAGGCCUUUCAUCAUCCAUCUCGCCACGGGGCACGGGGGCCAUGGGGGGUUGUGCCUCACAACACCUGGCAGAACGGAAAAGAACACGAUGAUGAGGGGCAGCGCUCAGACAUGGGGCAGUCACCAGACUGCUUCUCCUUUUAGAGGAAGUCAGCGCUUCCACCUGAACAUCUGGCUGUGCUCGAGCCCGCGUAGCCUCGGUGGCAGAAGCACGAGCGAUUACCCCUGCGCAGCCAGCCAAAACACAAAAAUCAAUAAACAAUCUCAACGUUUCUGAGGGCCUUUCGUCUGACUUAAUAAAUGUCUCAAUCCACUCUUAUGACUUCAUUUUGCUUUAACGUCUUCUUCAUGUGCAUCUUUUGCUGAUCAAUUAGAGAAUGGAGUGCCCCUUCUGUCACGACACCUGCCACCUGCCCUCCAUUCAAUGCUGCACACACACACACACGUGUCACAUGGCCACGAGGCACAAGGUGAACUGCUAUUUUAAUCCUUGAAAUAAGAUACCUUUUGAAAGCACUUCGUUAAAUGGCUCAUUAGAGGAUAGGUCACGCACUUCUUCCAGGUUUUUCUAUAUACAGUAUCAUGUGUUCAGUAAUUUUAUCUUGACCUAAGAGUUUUUUC
ensembl:lncRNA